UACGUAGGGUGCGAGCGUUGUCCGGAAUUAUUGGGCGUAAAGAGCUUGUAGGCGGUUUGUCGCGUCUGCCGUGAAAAUCCGGGGCUCAACCCCGGACUUGCGGUGGGUACGGGCAGACUAGAGUGUGGUAGGGGAGACUGGAAUUCCUGGUGUAGCGGUGAAAUGAGCAGAUAUCAGGAGGAACACCGAUGGCGAAGGCAGGUCUCUGGGCCACUACUGACGCUGAGAAGCGAAAGCGUGGGGAGCGAACAGG
rnacentral:rRNA from 1 species